rnacentral:rRNA from 1 species
UACGGAGGUUCCAAGCGUUGUUCGGAAUUACUGGGCGUAAAGGGAGCGCAGGCGGUCAAGUCAGUCUAAAGUGGAAGCCCGGGGCUCAACCUCGGAAAGCCUUUGGAUACUGCUUGACUUGAGUACGUGAGAGGAAGGCGGAAUUCAAGGUGUAGCGGUGAAAUGCUUAGAUAUCUUGAGGAACACCAAUGGCGAAAGCAGCCUUCUGGCACGACACUGACGCUGAGGCUCGAAAGCGUGGGGAGCAAACAGG